rnacentral:rRNA from 1 species
GACGAACGCUGGCGGCGUGCCUAAUACAUGCAAGUAGAACGCACAGUUUAUACCGUAGCUUGCUACACCAUAGACUGUGAGUUGCGAACGGGUGAGUAACGCGUAGGUAACCUGCCUGGUAGCGGGGGAUAACUAUUGGAAACGAUAGCUAAUACCGCAUAAUAUUGAUUAUUGCAUGAUAAUUGAUUGAAAGAUGCUAUUGCAUCACUACCAGAUGGACCUGCGUUGUAUUAGCUAGUAGGUGAGGUAACGGCUCACCUAGGCGACGAUACAUAGCCGACCUGAGAGGGUGAUCGGCCACACUGGGGCUGAGACACGGCCCAGACUCCUACGGGAGGCAGCAGUAGGGAAUCUUCGGCAAUAGACGAAAGUCUGACCGAGCAACGCCGCGUGAGUGAAGAAGGUUUUCGGAUCGUAAAGCUCUGUUGUAAGAGAAGAACGGGUGUGAGAGUGGAAAGUUCACACUGUGACGGUAUCUUACCAGAAAGGGACGGCUAACUACGUG